AGUGAACGCUGGCGGUAGGCCUAACACAUGCGAGUCGAACGGCAGCACAGUAAGAGCUUGCUCUUACGGGUGGCGAGUGGCGGACGGGUGAGGAAUACAUCGGAAUCUACUUUUUCGUGGGGGAUAACGUAGGGAAACUUACGCUAAUACCGCAUACGACCUACGGGUGAAAGCAUGGGAUCUUCGGACCUUGCGCGAUUGAAUGAGCCGAUGUCGGAUUAGCUAGUUGGCGGGGUAAAGGCCCACCAAGGCGACGAUCCGUAGCUGGUCUGAGAGGAUGAUCAGCCACACUGGAACUGAGACACGGUCCAGACUCCUACGGGAGGCAGCAGUGGGGAAUAUUGGACAAUGGGCGCAAGCCUGAUCCAGCCAUACCGCGUGGGUGAAGAAGGCCUUCGGGUUGUAAAGCCCUUUUGUUGGGAAAGAAAAGCAGCAGGUUAAUACCCCGCUGUUCUGACGGUACCCAAAGAAUAAGCACCGGCUAACUUCGUG
rnacentral:rRNA from 1 species